AAAAAAAAAAAAAAAAAGGAAAACCCAGAAAGCAGAAUGGUCAGAAUUAUAUCCAUGCAUAUAGAAAAGGAAGACCUAAUAUUUAGGAAACAGAAAACCUUGAAAUAAGGAAAAGAGAGAAGAAAAAAUCACAUGAGAAUUAAUGAAACUGUUCUAACUGACCAACUGAGAGAUCAUGAAAAAGUAUACAAGGAACCAAAACCCAAAAGAAAAAUUCAGACUUCAGAGAUAUAACACUAAAAAGAAGGAAUAAACAGAGACCCACAAAAAAUAGAAAAGAAAAGAUAGAGAUUAGUUAUAACGCACAACCAUAUUGAAAUAGGAAAAUUGAUUUGCUCAAAAUUAGGAAGAAAAAACUUUAUAUACAGAACUGCGUCGGAGUUAAUCAGAGCAGUGGCAAAAACAGAUGAUCAAAAUCAUUCUGAAAGUGAAACAGAGGAACCUACCAGUAGCAAGCAACAGAGGAAGCAACGACAAUCCAAAACCAAAUUCACUUCAUUUUUUUUUUCUUUUUAUUCCAAUUAUGCAAAAUAUUCAAUUGAACAACCUGUUAACUAAUUUAAAAGAAGAAUACCCAACAAAACUGCUGGCCAUUAGCUAGAAGUAAUACAGAGCAAACAAGAAAAGAAAAGAAGUUACCAAGAAAAUGUUC
rnacentral:misc_RNA from 1 species